GCGCACGCAGAGCAGUGACAUGGCCGAGGCUCGGGCAAGCCUCUGCCGCGCCCCAGCCGCGCCGGGCCGCUCCCUCUUUCCUCUCAGCAGGUGCCGCGACUGCUCUCGUUACCGGCCCCACGGGUCUGGCAGCUCCUCAUGGUCCCGGUCGCAGGUAGCGUCCCGCCGCUGCCUCGGACCCGCCCCAAAUCUCACCGUCCGAGCGAACUCCGGGUAGCGGUCUCUGAGCCCAAGCCUGCACCUAUACAUCCAGAUGACCUGAGGCAGCUGAAGAACCACGAAAGAAGUGAAAAUGGCCAGUUCCUGCCUUAACUGAUGACAUUAGCUUGUGAAAUUCCUUCUCCUGGACAAUGAGUCUCAAAAGCUCCCCCACUGAGCACCUUGUGACCCCCACCCCUGCCCACAAGAGGACAACCCCCUUUGACUGUAAUUUUCCACUACCAACCCAAAUCCUAUAAAAUUGCCCCAACCCUAACUCACUUUGCUAAUUCUCUUUUCCAACUCAGCCCGCCUGCCCCCACGUAAUUAAAAAGUUUUAUUGCUCACACAAAGCCUGUUUGGUGAUCUCUUCACAUGGACGCACUUGACAUUUGGUGCCGAAGACCCGGGACAGGGAGACUCCUUCGGAAGAGAGGUCCCCUGUCCUCGCCAUCACUCCAUGAGGAGAUCCACCUAAGACCUCGGGUCCUCAGACCAGCCCAAGGAAUACCUUACCAACUUCAAAUCGGACAGGAAUGUCAGGUCUCUGAGCCCAAGCCUGCACCUGUACAUCCAGAUGGACUGAGGAAACUGCAGAACCACAAAAGAAGUGAAAAUGGCCAGUUCCUGACUUAACUGAUGACAUUACCUUGUGAAAUUCCUUCUCCUGGACAAUGAGUCUCAGAAGUUCCCCACUGAGCACCUGUGACCCCCACCCCUACCCGCAAGAGAACAACCCCCUUUGAGUGUAAUUUUCCACUACCUACCCAAAUCCUAUAAAACUGCCCCACCCCUAACUCCCUUUGCUGACUCUUUUUCUGACUCAGCCCACCUGUACCUAGGUGAUUAAAAAGCUUUUUUGCUCACAC